UACAGAGACUGCGAGCGUUAUUCGGAUUCACUGGGCGUAAAGGGUGCGCAGGCGGCCAUGUGUGUGAGGCGUGAAAAGCCCAGGGCUUAACCCUGGAAUUGCACCUCAAACUACAUGGCUAGAGCAUUGGAGAGGGAAGCGGAAUUCACGGUGUAGCAGUGAAAUGCGCAGAUAUCAGGAGGAACACCGGUGGCGAAGGCGGUUCUCUGGAACGCAACUGACGCUGGAGGCGACGAAAGCUAGGGGAGCAAACAGG
rnacentral:rRNA from 1 species